GGCAGAUCAUCUUUCUCCUUCAUCUGCUUCGAAAUGAAAAAGAGGGGAAAUAUCCCUUUCUUCCCGUCUCACUCCCUCCCUCGAUGAACAACGGCAGCCACCUCCAUUUUGUCGGCGCUGUUCAGAUCCUGGCUUCACCGUAAGGAGGUCCGUUGCGGUGGCGGUCGCCUUUACCCCGAAGAAGGGAGAUUGGCGGCGAUUGGAGCCUAGGGGCGCGGUUUCGUGGCUGCGGCUGUUGGAUGGGGACCGGCCAGGAGGCGGCGCUCGCCGCCGGAUUAUUCGAGGGAGGAGAAGUAAGGUGGCCAGAUCUGUGGUUUUAUUUGUGGGAUCUGAAUCAGGGGAGAGGAGAGGAUGAGAUAAGACAGCGGCGGUUUCGAUUUGGGGAUCUGGGUGGUGCUGCUGUUCAAAUAGACGAUGGCGGUGACUGAUAUUGAAUGAGAGACGACAGAGAAGGAGAGAUACUCCGUCGAUUUUGCUAGGAGUCGAAACUGGGAGUGGCAGCUCCCUCUUUCUCUUCGAGUAUUAUCCCAACUCGAUGUGACUCGAUUUUCCAUGGGAUGUGACUCGAUGUCGACGGCAGCUGCUGAUUUGUGAAGCGAGGGAGACGAGCUGGGGGAGUCCCGGCUUUCCGUCGACCUCGAUAGCACCAUAUGAGAUGCAACAUCGUCGGCAGGCUGGAACGGAAUCUACAUAGGAGGUGAGUAUCACAAAUUUGACUUUUGCUCGUAUUUAUCUUUCACAAACUUGAAUCUGAUUCCAGAAAGAACGAAAUUGAUUCUUUUUAAGAGAAUUAUUGUAUUGUUGAUUACUUUGAGGCCUCCCAUGUCUGUAUGAAUUAAAUUUUAUUGUUAUUUUAAAAAAAAUAGCUUCUGUGGCAAUUGUGUAGCGGUUGAAUUGAUUUUGUUUUUGAAUUAGUAGUGUCGCAGCUGCUUGUACAUACAUUUUUCUUUUGAUUGUGAUGAAGUAUGGUCCUUUAUGUGAAGACAUAAAGUGGACUGAUCAUAGCCUCAUUUUAGAGUAUGUUGGAGAGAGUUUGAGGAAAUUGACAAUUUUUUCAAAUACUUCUUUUUCAGACUGUUGGUGUUUGAUUGAAUUUACUAUAAUGUAUUUUUCUGCAGACAAGAUAAAUUUGUGGCACCCCAUGUUUUACUUUUCCUUCCUCACUCUUGAUUUUUUUUUAAGCUGUGAGGAAGUGGGCGAGCUUGCAGCAGAGUGGAAGCAGUAGAGAGAUCAUUGUAGAGAUUUGUGGAUUCUCUUUUGUGUAAGAAGGAAUAACUCACCAUUGUUAUUUGUUCAUUUAUUUAUGGAUUUCUGUUUUGCUUUUUGGAGGUUUUGAGCUCUCCACAACAAAGGUUGGCUCAGGGAAGAAGUGCCCAGACGGAUCGAGACCUUAUGAGACGGUUGUAGGCUUCUUUUUUUGUGUUUCCCUUGUUGAAGCUAUCAUGUGUGACUUGUUGAUAGCUCUUAUUUGUUUAUUUGAUUGCUAUGUAGAAAUGAUUGCUUAGUAUUUGCUCAUCUGGUGAGCGAUAGUGUUAGGAUAAAAUUCUAACAGCUUUUUGUAUGUCGUCAUUCAUUUUGAAUGUGGCUAAAUUCUUUGUUCUGAGUGCGGAAAUUUCAGAUGUUGUAUCGUUAUUUUUUUUUUUUUCAUUGCAUCGUUUAAGACUUGACUAUUUAGAUGACUUCUUAGAUUGGCAUGUGCCUGUUUUAUCUCCAGCUUGAACUUUAGAUCAUUGGGUCGGUUUGAGCUAUUU
rnacentral:lncRNA from 1 species